rnacentral:rRNA from 1 species
GGCGAACGCUGGCGGCGUGCUUAACACAUGCAAGUCGAACGGAAAGGCCCUGCUUUUGUGGGGUGCUCGAGUGGCGAACGGGUGAGUAACACGUGAGUAACCUGCCCUUGACUUUGGGAUAACUUCAGGAAACUGGGGCUAAUACCGGAUAGGAGCUCCUGCUGCAUGGUGGGGGUUGGAAAGUUUCGGCGGUUGGGGAUGGACUCGCGGCUUAUCAGCUUGUUGGUGGGGUAGUGGCUUACCAAGGCUUUGACGGGUAGCCUGCCUGAGAGGGUGACCGGCCACAUUGGGACUGAGAUACGGCCCAGACUCCUACGGGAGGCAGCAGUGGGGAAUAUUGCACAAUGGGCGGAAGCCUGAUGCAGCAACGCCGCGUGCGGGAUGACGGCCUUCGGGUUGUAAACCGCUUUCGCCUGUGACGAAGCGUGAGUGACGGUAAUGGGUAAAGAAGCACCGGCUAACUACGUG